rnacentral:rRNA from 1 species
GUAUCAUGGCUCAGGAUGAACGCUAUCUACAGGCUUAACACAUGCAAGUCGAGGGGAAACGACAUCGAAAGCUUGCUUUGAUGGGCGUCGACCGGUGCACGGGUGAGUAACGCGUAUCCAACCUGCCUACCACUUGGGAUAACCUUGCGAAAGUAAGACUAAUACCCAAUGACAUCCCACGAAGACAUCUGAAUGGGAUUAAAGAUUUAUCGGUGAUGGAUGGGAUGCGUCUGAUUAG